rnacentral:rRNA from 1 species
GACGGAGGGUGCUAGCGUUGUUCGGAAUUACUGGGCGUAAAGGGCGCGUAGGCGGCUUGUUAAGUCGGGUGUGAAAGCCCUGGGCUUAACCUGGGAACUGCAUUUCAGACUGGCGAACUAGAGUACGGUAGAGGGCGGUGGAAUUCCCUGUGUAGCGGUGAAAUGCGUAGAUAUAGGGAGGAACAUCAGUGGCGAAGGCGGCCGCCUGGAUCGAUACUGACGCUGAGGUGCGAAAGCGUGGGGAGCAAACAGG